GUAAACGGCGGCCGUAACUAUAACGGUCCUAAGGUAGCGAAAUUCCUUGUCGGGUAAGUUCCGACCCGCACGAAAGGUGUAAUGAUUUGGGCACUGUCUCAACAAAGGAUCCGGUGAAAUUGUAGUAGUCGUGAAGAUGCGACUUACCCACGAUAGGACGGAAAGACCCCGUGGAGCUUUACUGUAGGCUGGCAUUGGAAUUUGGUAUUAAAUGUACAGGAUAGGUGGGAGACUAAGAAGCGAGAGCGCCAGUUUUCGUGGAGUCAACGUUGGGAUACCACUCUUUUGAUACUAAAUUUCUAACUUGAUACUCUGAAGCGAGUAUAAGGACACUGUCAGUUGGGCAGUUUGACUGGGGCGGUCGCCUCCUAAAGAGUAACGGAGGCGUUCAAAGGUUCCCUCAGAAUGGUUGGAAAUCAUUUGCAGAGUGUAAAGGCACAAGGGAGCUUGACUGUGAGACCUACAAGUCGAGCAGGUGCGAAAGCAGGACUUAGUGAUCCGGUGGUUCCGCAUGGAAGGGCCAUCGCUCAACGGAUAAAAGCUACCCUGGGGAUAACAGGCUUAUCUCCCCCAAGAGUUCACAUCGACGGGGAGGUUUGGCACCUCGAUGUCGGCUCGUCUCAUCCUGGGGCUGGAGUAGGUCCCAAGGGUUGGGCUGUUCGCCCAUUAAAGAGGCACGCGAGCUGGGUUCAGAACGUCGUGAGACAGUUCGGUCCCUAUCCAUCGUGGGCGUAGGAAAUUUGAGAGGAGCUGUCCUUAGUACGAGAGGACCGGGAUGGACAGACCGCUGGUGUAUCAGUUAUCAUGCCAAUGGUAAUGCUGAAUAGCUAAGUCUGGAAGGGAUAAGUGCUGAAGGCAUCUAAGCACGAAGCCCCCCUCAAGAUGAGAUUUCCUGUUGCAGCAAUGCAAGAGAGAUUCGAUACAGAAAAUGUCGUAGAUAGGUCAGAGGUGUAAAGGUGGCAACAUCAAAGCUAACUGAUACUAAUAAAUCGAAAGCUUGACCAG
rnacentral:rRNA from 1 species